CAGCCGCCGCGGUAAUACCGGCGGCUCGAGUGGUGGCCACUUUUAUUGGGCUUAAAGCGUUCGUAGCUGGGUUGUUAAGUCUCUUGGGAAAUCUGACGGCUUAACCGUCAGGCGUCUAAGAGAUACUGGCAAUCUUGGAACCGGGAGAGGUGAGGGGUACUUCGGGGGUAGGAGUGAAAUCCUGUAAUCCUCGAGGGACCACCUGUGGCGAAGGCGCCUCACCAGAACGGCUUCGACAGUGAGGGACGAAAGCUGGGGGAGCAAACCGGAUUAGAUACCCGGGUAGUCCCAGCCGUAAACGAUGCGCGUUAGGUGUAUCGGUGACCACGAGUCACCGAGGUGCCGAAGGGAAACUGUGAAAAGUGCCGCCUGGGAAGUACGGUCGCAAGGCUGAAACUUAAAGGAAUUGGCGGG
rnacentral:rRNA from 1 species